GCCCCCAGACCAAACUGUGACGUUUAUCGUCGCUUGCCCGAAAGGGAUAGGUCUGGGGGUUUUC
rnacentral:sRNA from 12 species